CUAUCACAAUACCAAAAUUAAUUUGAACAUCUUCCCACUUUUACUCUCUUCCCUUAAGGAAAAAAAAAUAAAACCAAAUUUGUGAGAAAAUUGGGUUAUUCAAGCUGCGUGUGUUGGCAGACUGUUGGACGGAACCUUCAGAAGAGGUUUGAUAGACUCAAAGUUAGUCUUAUCUUCAGGGAAGCUACUACCGCAACAGAUGCACUGGCCGGAAGAGGUUCUGCUUCAGAAUUUGACUUUAACUUGCACAUCAUGAGCCUGCCUUUUGUUUCUUUAUUUGUAGCUGUGGUAGGGCUAGUACUGUACUCUAUCGUGAUGUGGGAACUUUGUAGCUGUGAGCUGUCUCUGUUUUGGUUGAUGCACGUCCUUAUUCAGCCAAAACAAAAGAAAAGAAAAGAAAAUAAAAUAAUUCUCUCCGGAUGGAAAUCGGUGUACCCAAAAACAUUUGCAUUUAUGGUUUGUCCAAUAAUCUUUGUCUGAGUAAAGAACAAGUGAUUUGGCAGGUUUAUAUUUUGAUUAUAGUUAUCAAUAUAGUAUGAUAUAAUA